rnacentral:rRNA from 1 species
GAUGAACGCUGGCGGCGUGCCUAAUACAUGCAAGUCGAGCGAACAGACGAGGAGCUUGCUCCUCUGACGUUAGCGGCGGACGGGUGAGUAACACGUGGAUAACCUACCUAUAAGACUGGGAUAACUUCGGGAAACCGGAGCUAAUACCGGAUAAUAUAUUGAACCGCAUGGUUCAAUAGUGAAAGACGGUUUUGCUGUCACUUAUAGAUGGAUCCGCGCCGCAUUAGCUAGUUGGUAAGGUAACGGCUUACCAAGGCGACGAUGCGUAGCCGAACUGAGAGGGUGAUCGGCCACACUGGAACUGAGACACGGUCCAGACUCCUACGGGAGGCAGCAGUAGGGAAUCUUCCGCAAUGGGCGAAAGCCUGACGGAGCAACGCCGCGUGAGUGAUGAAGGUCUUCGGAUCGUAAAACUCUGUUAUUAGGGAAGAACAAAUGUGUAAGUAACUAUGCACGUCUUGACGGUACCUAAUCAGAAAGCCACGGCUAACUACGUG